GAUAAAUUUGCUGUCACUUCACGUCUGUCACUUGCUGUCAGUGAAAGUAUUCGGUAAUUUUUUUGAACCGGUAAAAAUUUCUAGUGAAAAGUUCAAGUGUGUUUCUCAUACAAAAUGUUAGCAGCUUUAGUAGCUAAACCACGACCAGCUGAGUAUUCUCCCAUUCCAGAAAACCGAUCUUAUAGUUGGCUUCCCCAACAACUUCAGACAAAUCUUUGACAGACAUCAAGUAAGGAACUGUCACUGAUCAGACUCCAAUCAAUGUUGAUGAAGAGAGCUAAAUUAUCUGUGUCUUCGCAAUGAUUCCAAAUUUCUUACUGAAAUCUAAUAAGCCUAAUGUACAUCAGACAGGUUUUUCUACUGAGCCAUGCCAACAGGCACAAAUAAAUUCAGAACCCAAAGGUCCUGUGAUCAAAACAGAUCUUCCUGGACCGAAAACCCAGGAACUCAUAAAAAAACUGGCACCGUUUCAAGUAAGAGUGACACACCGAGAUAACGGAGCAAG